GACGAACGCUGGCGGCGUGCUUAACACAUGCAAGUCGAACGAAGUGGCGAACUGGUGAGUAACGCGUCAUCAACCUGCCCUUCAGAGGGGGACAACAGUUGUAAACGACUGCUAAUACCGCAUACUGAAGGAGGGGAUUGCGUCUGAUUAGCUAGUGGGAGGGGUAACGGCCCACCAAGGCGAUGAUCAGUCGCCGGUCUGGGGUGAUGAACGGCCACAUUGGGACUGGGACACGGCCCAGACUCCUACGGGAGGUAGCAGUGGGGAAGCUUCCGAAAUGGACGAAAGUAUGACGGAGCAACGCCGCGUGAGUGAGGACGGGCUUCGGGUUGUAAAGCUCUGUUAAUCGGGACGCGGUACGGGAAUAGAAAGCCACGGCUAACUACGUGCCAGCAGCCGCGGUAAUUC
rnacentral:rRNA from 1 species